rnacentral:lncRNA from 1 species
ACUGAUGUUUGUGCUUAAUGUUGUAGAUGAUUUGAAAAGAGUAGUUAUAGGAGAUGAAAAAUGGAUGUCCUGUAACUACUCUUUUCAAAAAUGGCUCCCUCUUUUCAGGGGGAGCAAAAAGUGCAAAUGUGCGCAUGCUGUUGCUGACUUUGUGGUAUGGGCUCGUGAAGUUUCCAUUUACCCAGUUUUGACACAUAAUGAAGGCUCUGUAGAUGUGUGUGAAUAGUUGAAUGGGAUGAAUGGAUGAUUGUGGCAAAUUCCUUGACUGUUGCCUCUGGAUUCCUCUCAACAGCAAUUCAGCACAUCAUUAUCCAUCUCAAUAGGUUGGCAUAUUCAUGAGGGUCCUAUUUCCAAAUUAGAAUUUCUGGAACCAUCUUUGACACUUUCUGACAUUCAGGGUACCCUGC